AUUGAACGCUGGCGGCAGGCCUAACACAUGCAAGUCGAACGAGUGGCGGACGGGUGAUCAAUGUCUGGGAAACUGCCUGAUGGAGGGUGAUAACUUCUGGAAACGGUAGCUAAUACCGCUUACCAUCCGAUGUGUCAAGAUUUGAUUAGCUAGUAGGUGGGGUAAAGGCUCACCUAGCCGACGAUCCCUAGUUGGUCUGAGAGGAUGACCAGCCACACUGGAACUGAGACACGGUCCAGACUCCUACGGGAGGCAGCAGUGGGGAAUAUUGCACAAUGGGCGCAAGCCUGAUGCAGCCAUGCCGCGUGUAUGAAGAAGGCCUUCGGGUUGUAAAGUACUUUCAGCGGGGAGGCGUUACCCGCAGAAGAAGCACCGGCUAACUCCGUGCCAGCAGCCGCGGUAAUUC
rnacentral:rRNA from 1 species